CACGUAGGGGGCAAGCGUUGUCCGGAUUUAUUGGGCGUAAAGAGCUCGUAGGUGGUUCGAUAAGUCGGGUGUGAAACCUCCAGGCUCAACCUGGAGACGCCACCCGAUACUGUCGUGACUAGAGUCCAGUAGGGGAGCGUGGAAUUCCUGGUGUAGCGGUGAAAUGCGCAGAUAUCUGGAGGAAUACCGGUGGCGAAGGCGGCAUCCUGGACCGACAUUGACGCUGAGUGAGCGAAAGCUAGGGGAGCAAACGGGG
rnacentral:rRNA from 1 species